rnacentral:tRNA from 1 species
GUCUCUAUAGUUCAAUGGAAGAACGGUCGGUUUCUACCCGAUAGAUGUGGGUUCGAAUCCUACUAGAGAUA